rnacentral:tRNA from 1 species
AUUAAUUUGGCAGAUAAGUGCCUUGAAUUUAGAAUUCAAAAAUGAGUUAUUUCAGUUAAUA